AGGAUGAACGCUGGCGGCGUGCUUAACACAUGCAAGUCAAGGGGGCCCAGCAAUGGGCAACCGGCGAACGGGUGCGUAACACGUGAGCAACCUACCGAAAUGUGGGGAUAGCCGGCCCAACGGCCGGGUAAUACCGGCAUACGCUCGAGACCAGGCAUUUGGACUCGAGGAAUUUACGGAGCAUUU
rnacentral:rRNA from 1 species